rnacentral:pre_miRNA from 1 species
GGCUGGGCAAGGUGCGGGGCUAGGGCUAACAGCAGUCUUACUGAAGGUUUCCUGGAAACCACACACAUGCUGUUGCCACUAACCUCAACCUUACUCCGUC